AUGAGCUUUCGGAAGUGCAAGGAACCGUGUACCAGGUUCAUCACGAAGGGAGACACUCACGAAAGGUGCGUAGUCUGUUUGGGAUUACAUCACGCGCAGUCUGCGCUUAGUGGCCUUUCCUCUUGUCCCCAUUGUGAUGGCCUGCGACUUAAAGUACUGCGCUCGAGGGUAGAAGUGUUUUCCAAGGUCGCCCCUGCGUCCAACCCCCGCCGUGUCGCUUCUGCGGCUGCCGAGGCACCGCACGAGGCGAUGGCUUGGGGAGACAUGUGCGACCUGACUUACGACGACAGCGCGGCGCUGGAGUUUUCUCCACAUCGCUCGCUUUCCCCUACCCGAGUGCAGGAAACCAGCUUCGUCGAACCCGUCGUUUUCUCGGACGGGGGUUUACAGCCCACCCCGGAGGCAUACGAUGCUAUCUCCUUCGGUUGUGGGCAGUAUGACGACGACGUUUUAUCCACCACGGCCUCGGAGUCUGAGGACUUCAUGGCCGAUACGGACAGCCCUCUCCCUCCUAGCGGACAGGAGAAGCGCGUCUCUCCCUCCUACAGCGAGCUGUUGGAUGUGGUCUCUCGUGCGGUGGGUAAGCUGGGACUGGACUGGGAGGUUGAGAAGGCCGAGGCCCAACCUUCAUCUAAGCUGGACGACCGUUUCUUAACCAGUCGUACUCCUGCGCAGCCCCGUAGGCCCCUGCCUUUUUUCCCGGACCUCCACCAGGAGGUUUCGAGGUCCUGGAAGCAGCCCUACUCGGCGCGCAUCACGAACGCUGCGGCUGCGGAUUUCGCCACCAUUUCAGAUAUGGCGAACCGUGGCUAUACAGCGAUGCCUCCGGUUGAGGAGACUCUCGCCGAACAUCUGGCGCCUAAUUCGGCCACGGCAUGGAAGUCUCGCCCCCUCCUUCCUUCGAAGGCGUGUCGAGUCACGUCUAGCCUCGUCGGGAAAUCUUACAUGGCUGCUGGCCAGGCGGCCGCAUCGCUCCACUCUAUGGCGGUCCUCCAGGCCUACCAAGCGGAGCUUUUAAAGGAUCUCGACGAGGGGGAGGGCAUCACACCCGAGGCUGUGAAAGAGCUGCGUCGAGCAACGGAUUUGGCGCUACGCGCUACCAAACAUACUGCUCGGGCAGUGGGCCGUUCCAUGGCUGGUUUGAUUACGGUCGAGCGCCACCUUUGGCUGAAUCUCACCGAUAUCAAAGAAAAGGAUAAAUCUUUUCUCAUGGACGCGCCCAUUUCUAAGGACGGUUUGUUUGGAGAGGCAGUUACGUCGGUGGUGGAUAAAUUUAGGGCAGCGAAACAGCAAUCAGCCGCUUUCCGCCAGCUGAUUCCACGCAGACCCAGAGAGACUGAACGGCGGCAGGCGCCCGCGCGGUCUCGUUCAACCUCUUCAAACCGCCAACGGGCUGCCUCACGGGAAGAGCCUUCGCCUAUGUCGUAAUAUGGAUCCAGUUUACUGCCCAGUGGCUUCAGUACUGGAGUUCCUUCAAGACCGUUUCUCUGAUGGAGUAACGCCAGCAACUUUGAAAGUUUACGUGGCAGCCAUUUCAGCUAACCACGUGUGUAUAUAUAGAUGGUGCUUCAGUGGGCCGCCAUCCGCUGGUCUCUCGGUUUUUACAAGGUGCGCCACGGCUGAGGCCUUUCUGCCCUGUGCAAGUUCCUUCAUGGGAUUUAUCUAUUGUGCUGCAAGGUCUAUCAGGACAUCCGUUUGAGCCCUUGGAAACCAUACCGGAUAAAAUCCUGACCUUGAAGACAGUUCUUCUUAUGGCUUUAUCCUCCCUCAAGAGAGUUGGGGAUUUACAGGCUCUUUCUGUUUCGCCGUCGUGCAUGGACUUUGCACCGGGCUCUGUGAAAGUAUUGCUGCGACCGAGUCCUAAUUAUGUCCCUAAGGUCGCUUCGAACCCCUUUCAUUUUCAGCAGGUGGUCUUGGAGGCUUUACCCCUGCUGAGACAGGAUCAGGAGAUCUAAGUCUUUGCCCUGUCAGAGCGCUCAAGACUUAUGUCGAUCGAACAGCCCCAUGGCGUGAGUCCGACCAGCUGUUUGUCUGUUUUGGACACAAGAAUAGAGGCCAUGCUGUCACGAAGCAACGCAUGUCCCAUUGGUUGGUGGAGGCAAUAUCUCUAGCCUAUGAGGCGCGCGGUCUCGCUUCACCUCUAGGAGUUAGAGCUCAUUCCACUAGAGCAGUUGCUUCUUCUCAGGCUGUCCUCAGUGGAUCUUCUAUGACUGAUAUCUGUGCUGCGGCAGGAUGGUCCUCACCGAACACUUUUAUCAAGUUUUACAGUCUGGAUGUAAGGACGGCUCCUGGCUCCCGGGUUCUCUCCGCUUGAGCAGAUGCUUCCUUGGAUCCCAGCUAUCAGGUACGUCAGGCGUUAUGGUAUAGGGUUCCCAUACGGUGACGUCACCGCAGCAUCUCGUUCCCUAUUCAGGGAACCGUGGUUACAUACGUAACCGAGAUGUAUUCACUUGUUACAAAAACUGAUUUGGCUUUAUUAAAAUGAGUGCAUAAUCGCAUUCAAUAAAUUAAAGUCUAAAGUUGUUCA
ensembl:lncRNA